rnacentral:rRNA from 1 species
CAGUCGCGCGGUAAUACGAAGGGUGCAAGCGUUAAUCGGAAUUACUGGGCGUAAAGCGUGCGUAGGCGGUUUGUUAAGUCUGUUGUGAAAUCCCCGGGCUCAACCUGGGAAUGGCAAUGGAUACUGGCAAGCUAGAGUGUGUCAGAGGAUGGUGGAAUUCCCGGUGUAGCGGUGAAAUGCGUAAAGAUCGGGAGGAACAUCAGUGGCGAAGGCGGCCAUCUGGGACAACACUGACGCUGAGGCACGAAAGCGUGGGGAGCAAACAGGAUUAGAUACCCGAGUAGUCCCUGUCUCUUAUACA